rnacentral:rRNA from 1 species
UACGUAGGGUGCGAGCGUUUGUCCGGAAUUAUUGGGCGUAAAGAGCUCGUAGGCGGUUUGUCGCGUCUGCUGUGAAAACUGGAGGCUCAACCUCGGGCCUGCAGUGGGUACGGGCAGACUAGAGUGCGGUAGGGGAGAAUGGAAUUCCUGGUGUAGCGGUGGAAUGCGCAGAUAUCAGGAGGAACACCGAUGGCGAAGGCAGUUCUCUGGGCCGUAACUGGACGCUG